rnacentral:snRNA from 1 species
AGCUCUGCACAGUGGCAGUAUCGUAGCCAAUGAGGUUUAUCCGAGGCGCGAUUAUUGCUAAUUGAAAACACACACACACACACACACACACACACACGCACAAGAUGAUGAGACAGUGGCUCUGUUGGCUUCCUUCUGUGGUUGUUGUGUCAGACUUGAAUGGUUAGUGCUA